rnacentral:rRNA from 1 species
UACGUAGGGGGCUAGCGUUGUCCGGAAUCAUUGGGCGUAAAGCGCGCGUAGGCGGCCCGGUAAGUCCGCUGUGAAAGUCCAGGGCUCAACCCUGGAAAGCCGGUGGAUACUGCCGGGCUAGAGUCCGGAAGAGGCGAGUGGAAUUCCUGGUGUAGCGGUGGAAUGCGCAGAUAUCAGGAGGAACACCGAUGGCGAAGGCAGCUCGCUGGGACGGUACUGACGCUGAGACGCGAAAGCGUGGGGAGCGAACAGG